rnacentral:rRNA from 1 species
CCUACGGGUGGCAGCAGUGAGGAAUAUUGGUCAAUGGACGAGAGUCUGAACCAGCCAAGUAGCGUGAAGGAUGACUGCCCUAUGGGUUGUAAACUUCUUUUAUCUGGGAAUAAAAUGUUCCACGUGUGGGCGUUUGUAUGUACCAGAUGAAUAAGGAUCGGCUAACUCCGUGUCAGCAGCCGCGGUAAUACGGAGGAUCCGAGCGUUAUCCGGAUUUAUUGGGUUUAAAGGGAGCGUAGGUGGAUUGUUAAGUCAGUUGUGAAAGUUUGCGGCUCAACCGUAAAAUUGCCGUUGAAACUGGCAGUCUUGAGUAGAAUAGAGGUGGGCGGAAUGCGUGGUGUAGCGGUGAAAUGCUUAGAUAUCGCGAAGAACUCCGAUUGCGAAGGCAGCUCACUGGACUGAAACUGACACUGAGGCACGAAAGUGUGGGUAUCAAACAGGAUUAGAUACCCUAGUAGUC